rnacentral:rRNA from 1 species
UACAGAGGUCUCAAGCGUUGUUCGGAUUCAUUGGGCGUAAAGGGUGCGUAGGCGGCGUGGUAAGUCGGAUGUGAAAUCUCGGAGCUUAACUCCGAAACUGCAUUCGAUACUGCCGUGCUUGAGGACUGGAGAGGAGACUGGAAUUUACGGUGUAGCGGUGAAAUGCGUAGAUAUCGGGAGGAACACCAGUGGCGAAGGCGAGUCUCUGGGCUGUAUCUGACGCUGAUGCGCGAAAGCUAGGGGAGCAAACGGG